AAUCAACGCUGGCGGCGUGCCUCAGACAUGCAAGUCGAACGAUUAAGACUUCCUUCGGGAAGUGCAUAAAGUGGCGCACGGGUGAGUAACACGUAAGUAAUCUACCCUCGAGUGGGGAAUAACGUUCGGAAACGAACGCUAAUACCGCAUAAUGCAGCGGCAUCGCAAGAUGACAGUUGUUAAAGGAGUAAUUAGCUUGAGGAGGAGCUUGCGGCAGAUUAGCUAGUUGGUAAGGUAACGGCUUACCAAGGCUACGAUCUGUAUCCGGUCUAAGAGGACGGUCGCACACACUGACACUGAAUAACGGGUCAGACUCCUGCGUGAGGCAGCAGUCGGGAAUUUUGGGCAAUGGGCGAAAGCCUGACCCAGCAACGCCGCGUGAAGGAUGAAGUAUUUCGGUAUGUAAACUUCGAAAGAAUGGGAAGAAUAAAUGACGGUACCAUUUAUAAGCUCCGGCUAACUACGUGCCAGCCGCCGCAGUAAUAC
rnacentral:rRNA from 1 species